rnacentral:rRNA from 1 species
UACGUAGGGUGCAAGCGUUGUCCGGAAUUAUUGGGCGUAAAGAGCUCGUAGGCGGCUUGUCGCGUCGACCGUGAAAACUUGGGGCUCAACCCCAAGCCUGCGGUCGAUACGGGCAGGCUCGAGUUCGGUAGGGGAGACUGGAAUUCCUGGUGUAGCGGUGAAAUGCGUAGAUAUUGGGAAGAACACCCGUGGCGAAGGCGGCUCUCUGGGACGGUACUGACGCUGAGACGCGAAAGCGUGGGGAGCGAACAGG